UGCAGGACUGACAUACAUAGAAUGGA
rnacentral:piRNA from 1 species